rnacentral:rRNA from 1 species
CCUACGGGUGGCAGCAGUGAGGAAUAUUGGUCAAUGGACGAGAGUCUGAACCAGCCAAGUAGCGUGAAGGAUGACUGCCCUAUGGGUUGUAAACUUCUUUUAUAUGGGAAUAAAACGUUCCACGUGUGGGAUUUUGUAUGUACCAUAUGAAUAAGGAUCGGCUAACUCCGUGCCAGCAGCCGCGGUAAUACGGAGGAUCCGAGCGUUAUCCGGAAUUAUUGGGUUUAAAGGGAGCGUAGGUGGAUUGUUAAGUCAGUUGUGAAAGUUUGCGGCUUAACCGUAAAAUUGCAGUUGAAACUGGCAGUCUUGAGUACAGUAGAGGUGGGCGGAAUUCGUGGUGUAGCGGUGAAAUGCUUAGAUAUCACGAAGAACUCCGAUUGCGAAGGCAGUUCACUGGACUGCAACUGACACUGAGGCUCGAAAGUGUGGGUAUCAAACAGGAUUAGAUACCCCAGUAGUC